rnacentral:rRNA from 1 species
AGACCGGUCUACUGGUCGUGCUUUUUGUACGUACUGGUUUUAUUGGUUUCUCCUUUCUGACGAACUUUAAUGCCAUUAAUUUGGUGUUUUAGGGAAUCAGGACUGUUACUUUGAAAAAUUAGAGUGUUUAAAGCAGGCUCACGCUUGAAUACAUUAGCAUGGAAUAACGGAAUAGGACGUUUGAUUUUAUUUUGUUGGUUUCUAGGAUCGACGUAAUGAUUAAUAGGGAUAGUUGGG